CGAAGCACUUUAUUUGAUUUCCUUCGGGACUGAUUAUUUUGUGACUGAGUGGCGGACGGGUGAGUAACGCGUGGGUAACCUGCCUUGUACAGGGGGAUAACAGUUGGAAACGGCUGCUAAUACCGCAUAAGCGCACGGCAUCGCAUGAUGCAGUGUGAAAAACUCCGGUGGUAUAAGAUGGACCCGCGUUGGAUUAGCUAGUUGGUGAGGUAACGGCCCACCAAGGCGACGAUCCAUAGCCGACCUGAGAGGGUGACCGGCCACAUUGGGACUGAGACACGGCCCAAACUCCUACGGGAGGCAGCAGUGGGGAAUAUUGCACAAUGGGCGAAAGCCUGAUGCAGCGACGCCGCGUGAGCGAAGAAGUAUUUCGGUAUGUAAAGCUCUAUCAGCAGGGAAGAUAAUGACGGUACCUGACUAAGAAGCACCGGCUAAAUACGUGCCAGCAGCCGCGGUAAUACGUAUGGUGCAAGCGUUAUCCGGAUUUACUGGGUGUAAAGGGAGCGCAGGCGGCCAGGCAAGUCUAGAAGUGAAAGCCCGGGGCUCAACCCCGGUGACUGCAUUGGAAACUGUAGUGACUAGAGUGCAGGAGGGGUCAAGCGGAAUUCCUAGUGUAGCGGUGAAAUGCGUAGAUAUUAGGAGGAACACCAGUGGCGAAGGCGGCUUACUGGACUAUAACUGACGCUGAGGCUCGAAAGCGUGGGGAGCAAAC
rnacentral:rRNA from 1 species